AGUGAACGCUGGCGGUAGGCCUAACACAUGCAAGUCGAACGGCAGCACAGUAAGAGCUUGCUCUUACGGGUGGCGAGUGGCGGACGGGUGAGGAAUACAUCGGAAUCUACUUUUUCGUGGGGGAUAACGUAGGGAAACUUACGCUAAUACCGCAUACGACCUACGGGUGAAAGCAGGGGAUCUUCGGACCUUUCGCGAUUGAAUGAGCCGAUUUCGGAUUAGCUAGUUGGCGUGGUAAAGGCCCACCAAGGCGACGAUCCGUAGCUGGUCUGAGAGGAUGAUCAGCCACACUGGAACUGAGACACGGUCCAGACUCCUACGGGAGGCAGCAGUGGGGAAUAUUGGACAAUGGGCGCAAGCCUGAUCCAGCCAUGCCGCGUGGGUGAAGAAGGCCUUCGGGUUGUAAAGCCCUUUUGUUGGGAAAGAAAAGCAGCAGGUUAAACCCCCGCUGUUCUGACGGUACCCAAAGAAUAAGCACCGGCUAACUUCGUG
rnacentral:rRNA from 1 species